AUAAAAUUUGCCAAGAAGAGGACAAAAGUCACCAAAUUUUACAACAAAAUCCAUCCGAAGUUACCCAAUGUAUCCGAAAUCUCUACAAUCAUUUUUUUUUUGUUCAGUCCAAGACACUGAAUAGUGUAUUUAUUUGAUGAGCAUAUGCACCAGAUUUCCAUUCGUGGCUUAAAGAAAAGGAGCUGUAUUCGAGACAAUUGCCAAUGGUAAACACAUCAACACAACGCAUUACAGAUUUACAGGACGUACAUUAGUACAUAAUCGUCCAUAAAUACAGUUCUUAUUCAGACAAGAUGGACAACGAUGACUGUCGCAGUGGCUACCACAAUCUGCAUCACUUUCAUAGCGAAGAUGUCAGCAGCAGCAGCAGAGUGUCUCGAGGCAGCACUCGCAGGUCUCGUAGCAGCAGAAGCAGCAGCAGAGUGUAAAGAGGCUGCAGAGAAGCAAUGCAUUUGUGGAACUGACAAAGAUUUCAACCGAAACAAAUGAACAAUUUAAGUGUCGGAAGAAACACUUGCUCACAAAUCUGAGGAGAAUUUCAACUGAACUGGAUGUAUUUCACUAAUUUAUGUGGUGCAAUUUGGUAGCUACUUCCAUUUUGGAUUGCAGCACAGGUUACUACUGCUCUUAGUACUGGAGAGUGAAAGACAAUACUAAAUUCCUAACUGAAGGCUUUAGCCUUUAGGUCUAGAAAAAAGUUACAUGAAAAUGACUGGCAACUACCAUAUUGUCCAUCAGAAUCAGAUGGCGUAUUCCAUUCUAUCAGACAAGCCAAAGCUAGCAUGGUGGAAACACUAUUUGAGUGAUGGAUGAUUUGUGAGUUGGAUGUCUAGAAAGUAGACACCAUUUCGCUCUCUAUAUCUUUUUUGGAUAUUGAUCUAUGGAGUAUGUAUCAGCCUUUCGAUGUUCUGUAUAUCUUGAUAGACUACAGAAACUACACCAAAUGCUCACAAAAAGGUGAAAUUAGCAGGAGAUAAUUUAAGCCAAUUCAGAUGUUUUUUUCCUCAAAAAAGGCAGAUUUUUUUUCUUCUGCAAAUAGUGCAGUUGGUUAUGAUUGUCAUAUUUAAGGCUCAACCCGAGAGUUCACAAAUCACAAUGAUUUGAAAGUUCAGUAAGCAUUUUUCUCUGAAUCCUAAAACCAAAGGACUUUGUGUGGUUGGGUAUCUCUAUCAGAUUCAUGAAAUUUGACACCAUAUCACUUGUUCAGGUUCUGAAUCUUGAAAAUCUUGGCCUGAGAGCUCACAGAAAUAUCCAAGGAUAUUCAGUAUGAGCACACUGACCACCUAACUAAUUGCAUAUAUCAGUCUGAUCUUGUGAGAAUAUGAGUUUUAACACAUAAAUCUUACCUAUGUUGCUUAAAGCAAAUUAGGGAUACAAGUGGUUAUAUCCAUAUGAAUUCUUUUUAAAGAAACUUGAUUGCUUAAUUAUAUUGUGUUCAUCCAACAAACUAGGCAAAAGAGCAUGGUUAUGAGUGUGUUUACAGUAGAAUCCAGAUGAAAUUCAUCAAUGAUACCUAUCAUUGUGAAUUAGAACUCCAGCCCAAAAUACAUUAAAGAGGUUGAUGGUAACCGAAAAGAUCAUGACAAGAAGUUUACCAUGCAUAUAAGCAGCCUUUCUCCUCAUGGCGCCUCUGAACAUGAUCGCUGUAGGACAUCUCCUGUGCACUUGGAGGGUUAUACAUCUUGCCUUUCUCCUCCCUGUUCAAGUAUUCCCAGACCAAAUUAUACAAGAAGAGAAGGAAAUAGGCCUAUGACAAAGCUGGAAGAUAUGAAGUGGCUAGCAGCUAUCUGUGUGGAUGUGAAAGCCUUCUGGGCUUCUUUUAUAGAGAGCAUCUCAGCUCAAGCUUCCAAUGUGCCAGUUCCAAGCACCAGACACACCAGUAGAAACAAUAAUAAAGACUUGACAGGGAACAAUAAUUGUGGAAAUUUGUCAUUGCAAUGGAUACCUAAAUAGGACAGUUGUGCUCACUAAUAUCUUAAGCGCGUAAAAUAGCAAAUUUAUCUACUUUUUAACCAGAAUAUGUACUAUUUCAGACCCUUCCAAUUAGUACCCAGGUCAAUUUAACUAGUAAGGAGUAGUUUUUAGUUAUCAACCCUACCAUGC
rnacentral:lncRNA from 1 species